AUGAAUUUAAGCAGUAGUUCUAGUUGGAUGGGCUUUAUUGUGUUGACCGUGUUAUUUCUCAGGAACCAAAGAAAAGCAACGUGGUCAUCUGGAGGUAGUGAUCCACAGGUGUCCUCAGCCUGGCAGGACCUGGUUUCUGGCAAUGCAGGCCCUGUUGUGGUGGAGAAAGCCUCCAGACAAAUCCUGUUGCACCCAGUUCAUCUGUGUGUGCUUGCUCUUGAGACAGGAGGGAUGUCCUUUCCUGGGUUGCUGGACACUCGCAGCUUGUAAGUAGUGCAGAACACUCUUGUGCAGAGCAAUACCUAUGAAAAUCAAUGAAACGAGAAGGUGUUUUGUUUUAUCUUUCCU
rnacentral:lncRNA from 1 species